AGAAAUCUACUGCUGGUGCCAGAGCUCCAUGAUUUCUAUCAAAAGCUUGCCACUCCGUGCAGUAGAGGUUCUGUCAUGUGAUAUUACUCCACGCAGAGGGAAGUCGGAGCAGCCCUGCACGCUGCUUUACACCACUGGAAAACAUUGAGCCGUGGCUGCGGGAAGCUCGUAGUCAGGAGCUGCGUGGGUACAGGGGAGUCCCAUCACCUCAGCUUCACCCAUGUCCAUGCUUCUGCAGCAGAAAUAUUCCUGUUGGGCAAUGCCAGAGUCCCAGGAGCGGCCUCAAAAGCAGGAGCACCAGGCUGUCGCCCACUGAAUGCUCCACUUCUCUGCCAGCAGCCAUUCCUUCCCCUCGCCCCAUGCUGCACCCCCUCCGCAAGACCGUGGUGUUUAGGUGGGCAGUUACAGCACUGGGGAGCAAAGCACAGCCCGGAAGGGGAGAAGUAAAUAAAGUGAGAUAUCAAGAUGAGUUAGUUCAUGUAGAUCCUAAA